GGAGAAUUGCUUGAACCUGGGAGGUGGAGGUUGCAGUGAGCUGAGAUCACGCCACUGCACUCCAGCCUGGGCAACAGAGCAAGACUUUGUCUC
rnacentral:miRNA from 1 species